CCUUGUCUUGAAAAGUAUGUUGGAGGCCCUACUCUGGCAACUUUAGUGUCUUCCGUGUCUCUUGCUACACUUGAGUUGUACACAACACCCGCUGCACCAAAUUGAGUUAUCUCAUGCCUUCAGAACGCAUGCUUCAAAACUGCCCAGGUCUGUAUGUGCCCGUUCUUCAGGUUCGUCUCUGAUACUUUGUAUCGCUGCCCAGUAUCUCCCAUCAAAGGCACUACCACAGUGACUAGUCUGACCUCCAGGGCCACGGCUUCUACAGCCACAGGCUCAGUGACCCACAGUGCUGGAGAUUGAACCCAUGUAUAUGCAAAGCAUUAUUGACUACCGAGCUAAGCACCAGCCUAUCUAGAGAGGACUGUGAAUGUUUUCAACACAAAGAAACAAUGAGAUUAAAACCCAAGCUCCUUAAUGCAGUAUCCGAGGCCCUUCAUUAUCUGGCUCCUGUCCACCUUCCAGCCUUUCUCACCACUUCCUUCCCUGACUCAGCCGAGAGCUUACAGACAAAGGCCAUGGACUAAUAGAAGUCUUGACUGUGCUCAGACCUUCCCUACCCCACGAGAAAUGUGGGAGUGCCACAUGCUACCAGAGGUGGUGAGAUCCAUUCCAGGGUUCAUAGUCGUGUAAAUAUAAGAAUGCAAGAACUGACUCAGAAGAAAGCCUGAGGAGAGUUUUAUUAGAGUUUAAAAGAAAAACCUGGAGGCUGACAAGCAUCAGUUUCAGCUGUCUAGAGGAGGAACAUGAAGAGAAAGAGAAAACUAUGCAAUUUGAAUUAGCAAUGAAAUUAUUAGUAAUGAAUCUGUAAUGGAGGUCAAGCCACAUGGCAGUCAGAAGACACCUGACAAAAGACGGUGGGAAGCUUCAGAGACAAAGUAAGGAAGCCUCCAGUGUCAUGCUUAGGAAAAGAAAAAAAGAAAAACUACAGGUCUCAGAGUAAGUGCUUAGAAAAGCAGAUAUGCUUAACAGGGCCAUGGCUCCAUAGGCAAUAUACCAGGUACAGGAUUUCUGAGAAUGGAAAGUAAUUAUCUCAAACCUAGCAAACAAAAGCACCUAUCUCAUUAAAAGGAUGAUUAUUCUUCCCAUCACUUAAGCUUUCAAAUUAGGUGAAUCGAUCUCCCCAAGGAAUGGUCCCUUAAUCCAGUGGUUGACUAAUCCAACUGGAUUAACCUUUAUAUUUGGGGUAGCUGGGGAUGUGUGGAGCACCCCACACACAACUCCAGGUAACCUUUCAUGAUUUAUACCCCUAACAUCUCACAUAAUCAGGGCUACUUGCAGUUAAGUGCAGAAUUCAGAGAGGAUCAGGAGGAAGUGAACAAAAUCCCAGGUGAGGGUUCAGUAAUCUUCCCUAUGCCUUUCUAUGUGGAAGGAUCAACAGCCAACCCCUAGGUCGGUUACCAGUGGUCAAGCUGUUCUGACAAAGUCUGCUGUUGUCGUGAAGACACUGUUCAACAGUAAAGGUCAGCCUCCCUGGUCACCUGCAACAAAGGCCAGCCUCCCUGGUCACCUGCAACAAAGGCCAGCCUCCCUGGUCACCUGCAACAAAGGCCAGCCUCCCUGGUCACCUGCAACAAAGGCCACCCUCCCUGGUCACCUGCAACAAAGGCCAGCCUCUCUGGUCACCUGCAACAAAGGCCAGCCUCCCUGGUCACCUGCAACAAAGGCCAGCCUCCCUGGUCACCUGCAACAAAGGCCAUCCUCACUGGUUACCUGCAACAAAGGCCAGCCUCCCUGGUCACCUGCAACAAAGGCCAGCCUCCCUGGUCACCUGCAGCAAAGGCCAGCCUCCCUGGUCACCUGCAACAAAGGCCACCCUCACUGGUCACCUGCAACAAAGGCCAGCCUCCCUGGUCACCUGCAACAAAGGUCACCCUCCCUAGUCAGGCUGGUUGGCUAACGGCUUCAUGAUAUUCUUUCACAUCUAAAGAGCCUUUUAUAUGUCCUGCUGUGUAGUCUAGAGCUCCUUGUGCAUGAGAUGAUACAGGUAGAAAUGAAGCUGCAGAAGAAAGGUAUUUUCUCCUUGGAGACUCCCUGGAAGUCAAUGCAAACAAGACUAAGUGUUGAACUUACCAUGGUGACCGAAGUUUAAUAUCAGGUGUGACCUUUCCACUCCCAAAGUCCUUAUUCAGCCAGAAGUCUGAGGGUGAUGUACUGCAGCAAGGUUUACCUGACUCUAGAGUAUCUUUACAAAGGGACUGUUUUGGUCUCCUUUCUGAUGCUAUGAUAAACCUGAAUAAAAUACCUCGAGGAGAAAAGGGAUUACUUGGUUUAUACUUCAGUUAACAGUCUAUCAUCCAGGGCAGGAGCUCAGGGACUCUGGAGGCAUGAACUGAAACAGUGGCCAUGAAGGAAUGUUGCUGAUUUGUUUCCAGGCUACCCUUCUUAUACCUCCAAGGAGCACCUGCCUAGGAAUGUCACCACCCAUGGUGGGCUAGGCCUUCCCAUAUCAAUCAAUAAUUUAAAAAAGACAGCCCAUAGGCAUACCAAUAACCCAUCUGGUGGAGGUAUUUCCUCAAUUGAGUUUCCCUCUCAAUUCCUUCUGGGUGACUCUAGUUUGUGUCAAGUUGACAAAAGCCAGUCACUAAGGGACUGAUCCUCAGAAGGAGACUUGUGCUGAUGGGAUAAUUAAAACUUGAUUUGGGUGGUGUUUAUAUGAAUCUGUACAUGAGAUAUAGUUGUGUAGAGCUGUAUGUACACAUGAACAUGUAAUUGCAUCUGUGAUGAAAUGUGAAUGAGCCUGGUACUCUGUAUUAACACCAAGGUACUGUAGUUACGAAGGUGCUCAUGUGUGGGGAGACUGGAUGAUGGGUGCUUGAGAAUCUUACUAUUUCUUCACAAAUUCCUGUGAAAGUAUGAUCAUUUCAAUAUGAAUGUUUAAAGUGAAGGCAGAGGAAGCUCAAAGUAUCAGAACUCUUAGUCUCCAACAAUACACUGUGACCGACUUUAAGCUACAAGAUCUUAUACAGAAACAGUGAGGUCAACAGUACUCUUGAAGAGAAGGAUGAAGCAGAUUACCUCAGUUGCUACAGAGGCUGAGGUUCUCAGUCACUACAACGGGAGGAAUGCUCUCUUAGCAUCAAAGUCCGUGUCCAGUCCUUUUCUUGAAAACCAGGUAGCCAAGCAGUUGAGUUACGGUAAAACUUAGCUAUAGUUCUUAAAGUUCAGAAAACACUGACUUAGAACACUGCCAUUCCUCACCCACGUUAACCUCAGCCAGUGUCACUAACUGCCACUUACUGCUGUUAUUUCAAUAUGUAGUGGAUAUUUAAUGUGCAUCAAUUCAUGCUUCUGGGUGCUUGAACUGUGUCCAGAAACAAAAUAAAGGACACUGUCAUGUGGUGGGCUUCAUACAUAGUAUGGGAAAGAGGCAGAAGGAGAAUAUGAAUUAUAUUUCAUACCAGUAAGAAGACAUGGGGCUAAGGAAGGAGUUCCAAGAACUCAGGAGAUGUCACUGUGUGGAACAAGACUCUUGCUUGUAUCUGUGAGCUUGAUGUCACAUUACCCCAGCAUUUCUUUCUGUGUCCUCAUCACUGUCUUCUUCUGUCUGCCCUUUAGCUUCUCCCUUUGUGUAUGCCUCUUGGCUCUCUAUCACAUCUCUUCAUCAGUGCCACUCUCUCUGUCACUUUCUAACCAUCUCUUUGUUUCCACUGACUUUCUCCCCUAACUAUAGCUCUUUCUGCCUCUCCCAUUCUUUCUAGACACAUCAUUAUCCUUAUGCAGUGCGCCGGUAUAAUUAAACUAAAAGUACCUGAGAUUCUAGUAUUCAUAUAUUUUUUGUAUAAGCGUGUCCUGGUCUACCUGAAACUUGCCUGACACAGAUGCAGAAUAAUUUUAAUUUUAUUAACUGUCGUCUUGGAGACCUAAAUCCCCAAUAGAACAUCCCAUAUUUCUGAAACAUGGACAUAAGAAUGUCCAUAGUACAGCACUCUUCAUGAAAACUAAGCCACAAACAACACAGGUAAUCAAGACCCGUGGAGUGGCUUAAUAGCUGAAGAGUAGAGCACUACACAGCAGGAGAGCCAGUGAAAGGCGGGCGAUGCAGACACAGAUGAAUCCUCGGGUCUCCAACAACCAAGACAGUACAAAAGGUAAAGGGAAGAUGAGAUAUUUAUGUAUAUUUAUUGCAGUCCAAAUAGAACAGGUUUUAGCAUGUAUGGUGAUACAUAACCAUAAUCUCAGCACCCAAGAGAGUGAGAUGGGAGAAUCUCUAAUUCCAGAACAGCCUUGGCUACCAAGCCCAGGUCUCAAAAAAAUAAUAAAACAGGUUUUAGAAAUUAAGACAAUUGUCACUCUAGUGGCAAUGGCUAUAUUAUGGGAAGGUUUCUGGGAGCAGGGUAUGCUUGUGUGUUAAUAUAGGUAUAAACUAACUGGGAUGUACUCGUUUUGUGAAAUUUCUCCAAGAUAGAAUUUGGAGAGAGAGAGAGAGAGAGGGAGAGAGGGCAUAUGUGUGCAUGUGUAUAUGUGCACAUGCACUCGAGUGGUACUGGGUUGAAAAGUUUGUUUAAAAUAGUGAAAGCUAUUGUAUAAAAUAAUAAUAAUAAUCUGGCAGUGAUUUGGGUGAAAAGAGGGAGAGCUCAGGUUUCUGAGGAACAUUGCACACUGCACUGAUUAGGUACAGCAUGAAAUAACAGGACAGGGAGACAGGAGAGGACAGCAAAAAUGAUGGUGACAGUGGCCAAUUAGGAAGGAGGACUUGGGGUAGCGUAGAAGGUAACAUGGGGUCAGAUUUAGUAACGCACACCUGUGCCCUCUGUACUGAGGAGCCGAGACUGGCCUGGACAAAGCAAGACCCAGUCUUGAAGAAAACACCAAAACCAAAACAAAGGAUAACUUUACAUUUAUUAAAUAACACAUACAAGUAUUUCCAACUUUACAUCUCUUGGUUUUGUUUCAUUUGUAUUGAAUUUUAUAUGCAAUACUGGAAUCAUCCUGUAUGUUAGAAAUAUAACAAAGGACAACUUUAAUUUCAAGUCAAUUUUUUAUAGAUAAUACACACUAUACAACAUGCUUCAUAAAAUUCGUGAGAGCAUUCCUAGACUGUGUGCUGUGACACAGUCUUCUAUAGUCACUGGGACCAAGACUUUACAAGACUCCAGCUUUAUUGUAACAUGGAACUUUGGUAUUUUCUUCAAAGAAAAAAAAUCUGUACUUGACUCUUUUGAACAGAGGUAGUCUUCUGUUUCCUGCAAGACUGUUAUGACAUAGUCUUUAGAGAUGCGAUUGUUACUGUUACAAGUAAGUAUCCCAUAAGGGUGAGAUGAUUGUGGGCCUGCUAUAGGAGAUCAGCUGCGGCCCAGGUGUGGUGGCUAUCAUCUUCCUUCAGAAGUUGACACCUAGUUUCUCACUAUUUAAGAACAAAGCAAGAGUAGAAUAGAACAUUAUGCCUUGGGAUACCAAGCCCAUUUAAGAGUGGUCAGAGGGGGUUGGGGAUUUCGCUCAGUGGUAGAGCGCUUGCCUAGUAAAUGCAAGGCCCUGGGUUCGGUCCCCAGCUCCGAAAAAAAGAAAAAGAAAAAGGAAAAAAAAAAGAGUGGUCAGAGUGCCCUAUGGCUCUCAAGCUGAACAUCUCAGCUAAGGCUGAACACACAAAGUACAGUAUAAACUCCGUCUCUAGACAGAUGACCAAAAUCUAUAUAUUACGUGGAUACCUAGAAAUUGUUGGUACUCAGAAAACGUUAAGUUAAAAAAAAGCUAAAGAAAUAUUCUGGCUUAAAAUGUAUAUUUAUUUAAUAUAUACAUCCAAUAUGUAUAUUUCAAACUAAUUUUUAAAUUUUUGCAUUGAUUGCAUUCAGAAUGCCUUAUCUUUAAAAGCUCACGUUCAACAUACACUACUAUGGAUAAUUUACUUUUUAGGUUGUGUUUCAAGGGGUUAGAAUUCCAUUUCUGACUGUUUUCUUUGAGUGCAGUUAAAUAGUUAGGGAAAGGCUCAUCACUGUGAUUUUCUGUCAAAGAGGAUUUGGUCAAAAUUGUCUCUGAGUUAGUUUUUUUAAAAAUAUGGUCUCACUGAGUAGUCCAAAAGACUGAAUAUGAACUCUUGCUCCUUCUGCCUCAACCUCUCAAUGUCUAUGGUACAGGUGAGUAUCACCAGGCCUGGUUUUCAUGUCAGAUGUUAAGUAGAAGAGAGCUUAUCCACCAUUAUACAGGGAACACUUAGAUAUAAAAAGAUGAGCCAACCUGUGUUGCGGCAGGGUGAGAGAGGUACAGGCCUUUACUCACAGCACUAAUUAGAGACCAGCCUGGUCUACAGAGCAAAUUCCAGGAUAGCCAGGGCUACACAGAGAAACCCUGUCUU
rnacentral:sRNA from 1 species